GGCAACGGCCAUACCAUGCUGAAUGCACCGGUUCUCGUCCGAUCACCGAAGUUAAGCAGCAUUGGGCGCGGUUAGUACUUGGAUGGGUGACCGCUUGGGAAAACACCGCGUGCCGUUGGCA